GACGAACGCUGGCGGCGUGCUUAACACAUGCAAGUCGAGCGGUAAGGCCCUUUCGGGGGUACACGAGCGGCGAACGGGUGAGUAACACGUGGGUGACCUGCCCUCAGCUCUGGGAUAAGCCUGGGAAACCGGGUCUAAUACUGGAUAUGACUCCAUGACGCAUGUUGUGGGGUGGAAAGCCUUGUGCGGCUGAGGAUGGGCCCGCGGCCUAUCAGCUUGUUGGUGGGGGGA
rnacentral:rRNA from 1 species